UACAGAGGGGGCAAGCGUUAUUCGGAAUUAUUGGGCGUAAAGGGCGCGUAGGCGGCUUGGCAAGUGGGUGGUGAAAUCCCUCGGCUUAACCGAGGAACUGCCGUCCAAACUGCUUUGCUUGAGACCGGGAGAGGUGAGUGGAAUUCCCAGUGUAGCGGUGAAAUGCGUAGAUAUUGGGAGGAACACCAGUGGCGAAGGCGGCUCACUGGACCGGUACUGACGCUGAGGCGCGAAAGCGUGGGGAGCAAACGGG
rnacentral:rRNA from 1 species